rnacentral:rRNA from 1 species
UACGGGGGGGGCAAGCGUUGUUCGGAAUUACGGGGCGUAAAGGGCUCGUAGGCGGCCAACUAAGUCAGACGUGAAAUCCCUCGGCUUAACCGGGGAACUGCGUCUGAUACUGGAUGGCUAGAGGUUGGGAGAGGGAUGCGGAAUUCCAGGUGUAGCGGUGAAAUGCGUAGAUAUCUGGAGGAACACCGGUGGCGAAGGCGGCAUCCUGGACCAAUUCUGACGAUCAGGUGCGAAAGCGUGGGGAGCAAACAGG